GACGAACCGUGCGAACGUUAUUCGGAAUCAUUGGGCGUAAAGGGCGCGUAGGUGGCGGGACAAGCGUGCGGUGAAAGCCUGGGCUCAACCCCGGGUCGGCCGUGCGAACUGUUUGCUGAGCACUGUAGAGGCAGGCGGAAUUCCGGGUGUAGCGGUGGAAUGCGUAGAGAUCCGGAAGAACACCGGUGGCGAAGGCGGCCUGACUGGGCAGUAGCUGACACUGAGGCGCGACAGCGUGGGGAGCAAACAGG
rnacentral:rRNA from 1 species